AUUGAACGCUGGCGGCAGGCCUAACACAUGCAAGUCGAGCGAGCGGCGGACGGGUGAGUAAUGUAUGGGGACUGCCCGAUAGAGGGGGAUCACUACUGGAAACGGUAGCUAAUACCGCAUACUAUCGGAUAACCCAUAGGGGCUUAGCUAGUAGGUGAGGUAAUGGCUCACCUAGGCGACGAACCCUAGCUGUGCUGCGCGGCUGAUCAGCCACACUGGGACUGAGACACGGCCCAGACUCCUACGGAGUCAGCAGUGGGGAAUAUUGCGCAAUGGGCGCAAGCCUGAGGCAGCCAUGCCGCGUGUAUGAAGAAGGCUCUAGGGUUGUAAAGUACUUUCGGUCGGGAGGCGUUACCGACAGAGGAAGCACCGGCUAACUCCGUGCCAGCAGCCGCGGUAAUAC
rnacentral:rRNA from 1 species